UCAAAUAACAAUGAAAAUACCAGUUCCCAUUCAAUCAUCGAAGUUAAGCAGCAUUAAGCUUGGUCAGUACUUACAUGGGGAACCACUUGGGAAUACAGG